GACGAACGCUGGCGGCGUGCUUAACACAUGCAAGUCGAACGGAAAGGCCCUGCUUUUGUGGGGUGCUCGAGUGGCGAACGGGUGAGUAACACGUGAGUAACCUGCCCUUGACUUUGGGAUAACUUCAGGAAACUGGGGCUAAUACCGGAUAGGAGCUCCUGCUGCAUGGUGGGGGUUGGAAAGUUUCGGCGGUUGGGGAUGGACUCGCGGCUUAUCAGCUUGUUGGUGGGGUAGUGGCUUACCAAGGCUUUGACGGGUAGCCGGCCUGAGAGGGUGACCGGGUUGGGUGGACCGGUGGGCGGGGCAGUACGGCGGGGGGAGGCAGGGGGGGGAGGCGUUCGAGAAGGGGCGGAGGCCUGGUCGAGGACCGCGGUGGGCGGGAUGACUGCCGGCGGGGUUGAGACGUCUGUGGCCGGUGCGGGGGGGGGAGGGACAAGAAGGGGUAAAGCAGCACCGGCUAACUAGGCGGCAGCAGCGGAGGAAUACUCGGAGUAGCCUCCGUCUGAAC
rnacentral:rRNA from 1 species